rnacentral:rRNA from 1 species
UGGUUAUUAUAGCAAAGAGGAUACACCUGUUCCCAUUCCGAACACAGAAGUUAAGCUCUUUAGCGCCGAUGGUACUUGGUGGGAAGCUGCCUGGGAGAGUAGGAUGUAGCCACGUA